GGCUGCCUGUCCCGCAGGCCCGUCACCAGCCAGCAGGCAGUGCCUACACACAUGGCAUAGGAAAUUCAGGCAGUGCCGUGCACCAUCUACCCCAGCCUGGCCUGAGCCCCCACAGCUGCUGCCCCUUGGGCCCCACUCACAGCUCUCUCAACACAGGCCACCACACACUCUCUGUCACCUGCCCCCACAUCGGGGGCAGGGCAGCUCUGAAUGUUUAGAAAGGGCAGGGCAUGGAGUGGGGGGAGGUGUGGCAGGGCUCCUGAACCCUCAAGGAAAGGGGCUCAAAAAGGGCAUGUGACUCCCCUGGGUCACACAGCAGGAGAGGACUAAGCAGUCCAGCCUGGCAUUCCCUCCUCUCACUGCAGCAAGCCCAGCUGCCCCGGCCAGGCCUCACCAGCCUCUUUCCAGAGCCAUAGACCUAACAUGUCUGGGCAAUGCCCAGAGGACAGCGGGGAGUCAGGACAGAGGCAGCCAGGGGAUGGAGUGGGAGGAGGGUGAGGAGAUGGAGUGCCCACCCCUCCUCCCCACAGCCAAGGCUUCACAAAGGCCCUUUGAGGCUGGCUCCCUCCCCACCUACUUGACAAAGAAAGAGAGGAAGGCGUGGGAGAGGGGGACCAAGAAGCAGAACUCUUGUGGCCAGGCCAGGAGGAUCCUGGGCCUUCCAGAGAGUCAGUGCAGGUCCACAGAUUCUGUUGCAGCUCUUGGGACUGAGGUCAAGGGCACCAAGGGCUCUUUAUCUGGUGCCAGGAAGGUGGGGCCCAGGGAGGCAGGACUCCUGGAUCCUCAACUACCCCUGCUAGUAGCUCAAGGCAAUCCAGGACACGCCCCUUCCCCUCUUGGCUUCAGUUUCUCAGCCUCUCAACAGUCCCAGUCCAAGAACAUCUACAGGGAUUUUUCAGUCAGAAGUAACUUGAGAUCACAACCUGGGAGAGGCACUAGACAGCUACAUUGCAUUUUCCCAAAAAGCACACGGAUCAGAGGGAACUUUGGAAAAUGCAACUCUGACCCCGUCGCAGGCUGCUGAAAGCUUUGCCUUUGGUGUCCUCACAGCACACACAGCAAGGUCGAGCACCUUGGCCCCAGACCGGAGAUCCCAGGCACCAGCUUCCGCAGGCCCACAUGAGCCUGAGGGGCUCCAACCUGUGAGAUUCUGUUCCCUCUGCCUUUUUCCACCUGGCCCUUCAGGCAAAAGCCUCAUCACCCUUCACCUCCAAGAUGUGGCCACCUCUGAUUACUGGGCUGCGGGAGUCACAGCCUCUUCCUGGCCCUGAGCAUUCUUGGGACAGCACGGUCUCCCGCACUGAAGUCCCCUGGGGGACGACCCUCACAGCGUCACCAGCGCAGCCUGGGAGGCCAGGGAGGGGCCUGGGCAGUGACCUCCACCCAGGCCACCAGGGACCCCACUCUGCAGGAUCCACAGACAAGCAGCGGAACCCACCCCAGCCCACCCUCACAGCCAGGAAUCGGGGUUCAAGGCAAUGAAGCCACACCACGAGACCAAACAUUUCUGUGUAACAUACUCAGGAACCAAGAGCCAAGAGCCGUGGCCGGAGAGCUGCCACCUGUUCAUUAUCAGCCCCGCGGCCAGGGCUCCCCAGCUGCUGCCGGGCUGCGUGUGGAAUUUGGCACUGCACUUCCUUUACUCUCACGACCACCCUGUGAGGCUGCAGUGCCACCCCACAGCCCCUGAUCUACUCUUCCUUGGGCCUGCCCAGGGUAAUGGUGCAAUCCAUCUGAAGUAAAGUCCACAAUUUCCAGCGCAGUCCUGAGGGAAACCGAGGCAAGUAAUGGGAAUUAUGCAGGGCUGCUGUGCCCCUGGAAGGAGCCAACCCAUUAACUGAAGGCUGAGGAGCCUGCUGAGAGUGACAGCGGGAAGAGCGGUGAGGGAGAAGGGGCAAGACACCCCUCGGUCCCAAGAGAUGCCCCAUUUCCUGGACCAGAGAUGCAUGUGUACUUACUGCCUGCCAACAGUGCCAGUGGGCACACAGCUGCCAGCUUGCACAAAAUGCAACUGCAGCUCAGUGAGGUAAGGUGAGCUGCCCAAGCUCCCCAGACACCUGCUGUCUGGACUGGGACCCAGAUCCUCUGACUUCAGUGCCACCGCCUCAGCCAUGUGACACUGCUGCUCAUUCAAGGAGCUGGGUCCUCACAUGGAGGGAAAAAGGGAAGGGAGACACAGGAAGGGAAGGAGGUGAGCGUGGAUGGUGAGCAUGGGCACAACAGGCAGCAGAGAGGGAAAGGGGGCCAUCGUCUGUGCCUUUCAAGGGAGCUAAAAGCAGCUGUCCCCUGCUCUGCACCGGAAGCCACUUCACCUUCUGCCCUCAUAUCCGUACUGAGCCUGCUGGUGAGGGCUGCUGUGUGACCUCAGGCCAACGACUUAACUUCUCUGGCUGCCCCUCUGCCCAGGGACACCAGCAGCCCUGCCCCCUCCCACCCAUUCUCCCUGCCUUGGAGGCCUGAGGGAGAGAGGGAAGGAGCCCACAGAGCCAGCUCCCAGGUUUCAGGCUUCCAGCACACUCAUCCAGGAGCAUCAUUAGCACCAGGGGAAGGGUUUCCAUCAGAGUCAGCUCAGGAAGCAAUUUAAGCUACAAGAAUUAGAUCAGAGAAGCUGAAAGCAGGAGCCUGGAAAUCAGCUCUUGCAAUUCCGGUGUUUCCAAGCCUAGAGGGCCCAGAAAGGGGGAUCGAGUUGGCCCAGGUCACACAGCCAGGUUGGUAGAGAAAGAAGUUCUGGCUGCUCUCCAGGCCAGCAAGGGGCCAGUGCUGGGAGGGUCCACUCCUGGGGAGGAUGGAAGGGAUGUGGAGGCCACGAAGGGAGAGCCUGUCUAGGCCAGGGGCUGCACAGGGCCAGGCCCGGCUGACUGAGGGUCUGAUACGGCUGUGCCAUCUUUCCAGCCUCACCCACCUGCCAGGCUGACCUUGCCCUACUUAUAUGAGGUUCUUCUGGCCCCAGCCCUUGCACAGACUGCCCCUCUGCACCCUCCAUCUGCCCCAAAGUCACCUCCCACUGUAUCUACAGGGCCAAUACCCCCACAGGGUUGGCUCUCCUCUGCUCGCUCCAGGCAGAGCACUGCAGGCCACAGAUAGACCAGGAGGCAGGAAAGCUGCUCCUCGGGGGCCUUUUCUUUCUGAGCCUGAGCUUAGGGCCAUAGCCCUUCCUGUCUCCCCAGUGUUUUCAGCUGUUUGGGCCCAGCACGACCCCUGGGUGGGGUUCAGGACCAUUGGAGCUUCCCAGCUGACCUGUGUGCCUGCCCUCUUCCCUCCUGCCAAUCUUGUCCCCGCCAUUCUCCACCCUGGGCUGAAGCUCCAGGGCUCAAAGCUUCUCACAGCUCCCACAAAGCCAUUUCCUCAGGGCCUCUGCACACCAUCUUCCUCUGCUAUCCUUGUGCCCCUGGGAUGGCACCCAUUACACUGUACCCCGUCUGCGCAUGACUUGUCUGCCUCCCCAAACUGCCCUAUGCCCCUCCAGGGCAGGGGCGGUGUCCAGCUCCUCUCUCUAUCGCAGGGUCCAAGGUGGCACCAGGGACUGAGUAGCUGUGUUGCAUGAACCAACAAAGGUGAGUGCAGGAGGAAGUCCUUCAAGAACAGAAAAGGCUCAGAGAGUGGUGGCAGCUCCCAAGGGGAAUGAGCUUUCCACAUCACAGCUGCCAGCAUUCAGGUCUAUGGCAGCGAGUCCGGCCCCUUCACCCUGGUGCAGGCCUGGCUCUUCUCUCCUCCCCUUCCUGAUAGCUGGGUACCAGCUGGUGCCCACAUCCUCGCUGCCUGGGCUGCAGCCCUACCACCUUCUGCUGCAGCCCGGCCCUUCUCCAACUCCUGAGACUUGGCCUGAGCCCCCACUGCCCAUGUAAGCUAUGAGGGCCUGAGCAGGCCACAUCGCCUCGCUGGUCUGCAGGGUCCAUGUCUAGAAGAGACAAUGUGUCAGAGCCUCUGAGCCACUGUGAGGAGCAAACAAGACCCCACCAGGCAGAGCAGCUCUCUGAAUCCUUUAAUGCUCUGCGCCCUGAGGACCGACAAUCUCAGGCAAUUGACAUCUGGUCUUCACCCAUGAUGUGUCCAGACCCCUGCCAGGCAUGAAGGUGCUACAACAAGGCCUUGGGGCUCGGACAGGGCCUUGGGGUUCCUGUCCGCGCUGGUCUAGUGUGGGUAACAGAUACACAGCAGAAUGAAGCAUGUAUCAUUCAGAGGUUCCAGCAAGAGGAAAGCAGGAAGCCUCCACACAGUCCUGGCCACAGAGGCAGGAGAGAAAGGCCAUUCCAGGCAAAGGGAACAGUUCACAGAAAGGCUGAGGCACAAAAGACAUCUUUAUUAUCACAUCAGGCACCCCCUAAGAUGAGCACAGUGUUAACCUGGGACCUGCUUUGGGAAGCCCUGCUGGGAUACAGAGUCUGGAGGCUUGGGAUCUGCAUAACAGGCUGCAGGCUCUGGACAAAUUCCUUGAUGUUCCCAUCUACAAAAUGGCUUAGCUGGCCAUCAUGUCCAGGGAAGGCUCACUGGUAUCAAUCCUCCUCCUCCUGCGACCAGGGUAGCUGAGUCAGACCCAGCCUGCACAGCAAGGCCUUUGUGGACAAAGAGUGGAGGUUCUGAGUUGGGUCAGAAUGAGGGGGCUGGGGGAGCUCACCAGGGAGCUCCGGGAACCCAGUCUUCUGGCAGGUCAGUCAGAUCUAAGUGUGUGUCCCAACUGUACCAUUUAGCUGCUGUGUGUCCUUGGGCAAAGUGCAAACCCCUCUGAGCUGCUGUCAAUCAGCAAGCCUCCUCUGAGCCCUACUGGGUUCCAGCCUGUAAGGCAACAAAUGACAGAAAGAAAGUGGCAUCUGUUCCUGAGAAGCUCAGUCUGUCUUCACCUGGGACAUGGUUGGUACCCCUCUUUCAGGAGGCUGUGUGGCCUAGUCUGCUGUUCUCUGGACCUGCUGGAGGUGGCAGGGACAGUCUGGCUGUUUACAGGAUGGAACAAGGCCUCAUUUUCCAGUGGGCCAUGCUGCCCUGGCUGCAGAAGGAGGAGGGCUGAUACCAGUGAGCCUUCCUUGGACAUGACAACCACCUAAGUCAGCUUGUAGAUGGGAACACCAAGAAAUUUGUCUUUGAGGGAGAAGCCAAGGCCAGGCUCCAAAGCUGUGAGGAGGGGCAAGUCACUUACCUCUCUGAGCCUCUAAGACAUGGGGUCAUGGAGCCAGCAUCAGCCCCAGGGUGUAUUAAGAAUCAAGGACACAGCAAAGUCCAAAUCCAGCAACAAGAGGGCCUCAAAGUCAGCACGGGCCUCUAAGCCAGCAUACAAAGGGCCAAGAAUAGGCAGAGCCAUUUGAAGAGAACACUACUUACACUACUAAGUAACAAGGCUGAUCACAAAGCUCACUGGGCACUGUUUCACAGACCAGAGGAACAGUAUAUAGAAAGUUCAGAAAUAAGCUACAAGUAUAAGGACACCUGACAUAUGACAAAAGAGACACCACAAUGCACUAGAGAAAGGACUAAUCUUUUCAAUAAAUGGUGCUGGGUCAGUUGGCUAUCCAUAAGGAAAAACGGUUGUCUUACCCCUACCUCAAACCGUAUACAAAACUAAUUCCAGAUAGAGUUCAAAUCUGAGAGGUAAAACAAUAAAGCUUUUAGAAAAGAACAUGAGAAAAAGAGUAUAUCCAAAUGGCCUAAAACUGGAAGAAAAAGUGCUCAACAUCACUAAUCAUUAAGGAAAUGCAAAUUAAAACCACAAUACGAUACUGCUAUACCCCCACUAGAAUGACUUAAGUGAAAUACACACACACACACACACACACACACACACACACACACACAAUCCCAAGUGAAGCUCUUAUGCAUUGGUGAUAGGAGGAUAAAUUGGUAUAAUCACUUUGCAAAACCAUUUGACUAUAUCUAUAAUCUAGUAAUUCCACUGCUAAGAAUAUGUCCAAUAGAAAUGCAAGCAUAUAGUCACCAAAAAUCAUGUACAAGAAUGUUUAUUGCAGUAGUAUUUGUUAGAACUGAAAAUCAGAAACAAGCUAAAUGUUCAUCAACAAAUGAAUGAAUCAAUAUGUUGUUGUAUAUUCAUAUAAUGGAAUACUAAAGAAUAAUGAAAAUGAACAAAUUGUUGUUGCACACAACCCUAUGGAUGGAUCUUACAAGCAUAUUAUGCAAGAGAAGUAAUAUUACAUGAUUCUAUUUAAAUAUAAUUGAAAAUCAAGGCUAGCAUUACCCCAUUACCAAAGCCAGAUAAAGACACUACAAGAAAAGAAAAUUACAAGCCAUUAUCCCUUAUGAACGUAGAUGUAAAACCUUCAACAAAAUACUAGCAAGCAAGCUGGGUAUGAUGGUGCAUGCCUGUAGUCCCAGCUACUCAGGAGUCUCAGGCAGAUAGCAAGACCCAGUUUCUGGAAAAAAAAAAGGCAAAUAAUUCAGAAGCACAUUAAAAGGAUCAUUCACCAUGAUCAAGUAAUAUUUAUCUAAAGAAUGCAAGGAUAGUUCAACAUAUGCAAAUAAAUAAACAUGAUACAUAAUAUUAACAGAAUGAAGGGCAAAAAUUGGUCAUCUCGUUGAAUUUAAAAAAACACAUUUGACAAGAUUCAACAUCCUUUCAUGAUAAAAACUCUCAACAAAAUAGGUAUAGAAGGAAUACACAGAAGUCAGUAGUAUUUUUAUACAUUAACAACACAUUAUUCAAAAAACAGUCAAGAAAACAAUCCCAUUUACAAUAGUUACUAGGAGAAAAGAAAUGCUUGGGAAUAAAUAUAACCAAGAAGGUAAAAGACCUGUACACUGAAAAAUAUGAAACACUGAUGAAAGAAACUGAAGACACAAAUGAAUGGAAAGAUUCUGUAUACAUGGAUAAGAAGAAUUAGUAUUGUUAAAAUGUCCAUUCCACCCAAAACAAUCUACAGAUUCAGUUCAAUCUCCUAUCAAAAUUCCAAUGACAUUUUUUGUAGAAAUAAAAAACAAUCCUUAAAAUUCAUACAGAACCACAAAACACCCUGAAUAGUCAAAGCAAUCUUAAACAAAAAGAACAAAGCUGAAGGCAUCACACUACCUGACUUCAAAAUAUACUACAAAGCUAUAGUAACCAAAACAGCAUGGUACUGGCUCAAAAAUGGACACAUAGACCAAUGGAACAGAACAGAAUGCCCAGAAAUGAAUACAUACAUUUAAUAUGUCAAUUAAUUUUCAACAAAAGUGCCAAGAACACACAAAGGGGAAAGGAGAGCCUCUCCAAUAAUUGGUGUUGGGAAAACCGGAUGUCCACCUGCAGAAGAAUAAAAGUUUUCCUGUCUCUCAUCAUAUGCAAAAAUUGACUCAAAUGGACUAAACACUUAAAUAUAAGACCUGAAAUUGUGAAACUACUAGAAGAAAACACAGGAAAAGCUGUUAUGACAUUGAUCUGGACAAAGAUUUUUUAGAUAUUAUCCCAAAAUUACAGACAACAAAAGCAAAAACAGACAAAAGUGGAUUACAUAAAGCUAAAAAUUUUCUGCACAACAAAGAAAACAAUCAACAGAACAAAGAGAAGACCUACAGAAUGGGAGCAAAUGUUUGCAAACCAGGCAUCGGACACGAGUUAAUAUCCAGAAUAUAGAAGAAACUCAAGCAAAUCAAUAGCAAAAACAAAAAAAAAAAACAAACAAACAAACAAACAAACAAAACCACCGUAAUGAUCUGAUUUUAAAAUGGGCAAAUGAUCUGAAUAGACAUUUCUCUAAAGAAGACAUACAAACGGUCAAUAGGCAUGUAAAAAAAUGCUCAUCACUAAUCAUUAGGGAAAAGAAAAUCAAAACCACAAUGAGAUAUCACUUCCCACCUUUUGGCUUUUAUAAAAAAAGACAAAAGAGGCUGGGCAUGGUGGCUCAUGACUGUAAUCCCAGCACUUUGGGAGGCUGAGGUGGGUCAAAUAUCUGAGGUCAGGAGUUCGAGACCAGCUUGGCCAACAUGGUGAAACCUGUCUCUACUAAAAAUACAAAAAUAAGCUGGAUGUGGUGGCACACACCUGUAAUCCCAGCUACUCGGGAGACUGAGGCAAUAGAAUGGCUUGGACCCAGGGGUGGCGGGGGUGAGAUUGCAGUUAGUUAAGAUCACACCACUUCAUUCCAGCCUGGGUGAUAGAGCAAAACUCUAUCUCAAAAAAAAAAAAAAAAAAAAGCAUGAUAUCUUAUUAAAAAAAAAAGAUACAUCUUUUAUGAAAAAAAGACAAAAGUGUGAUAUCUUAUUAGAAAAAAACAAAAGACACAUCUUUUAUAAAAAGAACUUUAAAAAAUAUUUUUACAAAAGAUACUUUUUUUUACAAAAAAAAGAUGAGUGUAGGUGAGGAUAUGGCGAAAGGAAACCCUCGUACACUAUUGGUGGGAAUGUAAAUUAGUACAGCCAUUACAGAAAACAGUGUGGAGGUUUCUCAAAAAAUUAAAAAUAAAAAUACCUAUGAUCCAGCAAUCCCACUACUGGGUAUAAAUCCAAAGGAAGUAAAGUUGGUAUGUUGAAGACAUAUCUGCACUCCCGUGGCCACUGCAGGACUGUUCCCAGUAGCCAAGAUAUGGAAUCAACCUAAGAGUCCAUCAAUGGAUGAAUGGAUAAAGAAAAUGUGGUUAUAUACUGCAAUGUAAUACAAUUCAGCCAUAAAAAGAAGGAAAUCUCAUCACUAGUAACAACAUGGAUGAACGUGGAAGACAAUAUGCUAAGGGAAAUAAGCCAUGAUCUUCCUCAUGGGUGGAAUUUUUAAAAAGUUGAACUCAUAAAAGCAGAAAGUAGAAUGAUGGUUAACAGGGACUGAGGGGUGAGGGUGGGGAGGAAGGUUGCAGAGAUGUUGGUUAAAGGACACAAAAUUUCAGUUAGAUAAGAGGAAUUAGUU